UACAAAUAUCUCCUGAAUGGAGGUGAAUAAGUAUAAAUAGCUUGGAAGUCGGCCUUAUUUAUGCAUCAUCAAAGGCUUUGAUCUUUGAAAUAAACGUUUUCUGUCUUCAUACGAUGCCAUGCCUAAUAAGUAACCAUGUAAUCAUUUGGUUUAUGUAGUAUCAGCUUUUAUCCUAACAAAGCAAUCAGAAACUUCAUAGACGCAGGCGUGGUGGUGUGGUUUGAAGCUUGCCACCCAGCUACAUGGUGCCAGGUUCAAUUCCACUGCGUGACACCUUGGGCAAGUGGUUUCUACUAUAGCUGGAGUCACCCAAAGCCUUACCUAUUCCGAACAAUACUGAGAUAUGAGAGUUUUGAAAAGGAACUAAUUUUUUCGGGGAUAGAAUUAGCAUAUAAAUGUAUUUAUGGGGAAAUAUUGAAAAACACCAAUACAUGCUAGAGUGAUAACGAAACGAGCAGAGUUGUCUUUGGAUGGAAUAGAAACAACAUCCAAAUGGCCCAUAAAUAACCUGAGGACGCACUGAUGGAUUUAAGUAUUAGGCAUAGCCUUUACAAACUCCCCACCAGCGCAGAAACAUGUGUAGCGUUGAUUAAAAAUAUCUUCUUUCCUCACAGACUAA